rnacentral:lncRNA from 1 species
AGAUGCGAUUGAGAAUGAUGUGGAUGUUGAUGAAUUAUAAUUGAAUUAUUUAUAUGGCUUAUGAAUUUGAAUAAUCUGAGAUACGAGAUUCCCUGGAUUAAGUGCCGUGGCUUGCCACCACGUGUACCAGGUUGAAAACUCGAUACUCUGUUGACCCUACGACGUAAGUGUGACCGGGCACUAUAUAAAUUCCCGGGAAUGUUACCCCCAUUGAGCAAUAUUGAUUAUUUGAGAAAAAGCUAUGCAUAGACUCUUGGGGAUGCACGUCGGGGG